rnacentral:misc_RNA from 1 species
CGCAACUUGCGCCCUCUGGUAUUCCGGAGGGCAUGCCUGUUUGAGUGUCAUGUAGACUCAUCUAAUCGGGUUUCUGAUUAGAUGGAUUUGGGGGUUUGCCUUUGUUGGCUCUCCUUAAAAGCAUUAUGCAGACGUAAUAAGUUUCGUCGUACGCAUUACCACUCUAUAUUGUACUCUGGCCUCAAAUCAGGUAGGGCUACCCGCUGAACUUAA